CAGCCGCCGCGGGAAUACGUAGGUGGCAAGCGUUGUCCGGAAUUAUUGGGCGUAAAGGGCUCGCAGGCGGUUUCUUAAGUCUGAUGUGAAAGCCCCCGGCUCAACCGGGGAGGGUCAUUGGAAACUGGGAAACUUGAGUGCAGAAGAGGAGAGUGGAAUUCCACGUGUAGCGGUGAAAUGCGUAGAGAUGUGGAGGAACACCAGUGGCGAAGGCGACUCUCCGGUCUGUAACUGACGCUGAGGAGCGAAAGCGUGGGGAGCGAACAGGAUUAGAUACCCCAGUAGUCCCUGUCUCUUAUAA
rnacentral:rRNA from 1 species